AACGAACGCUGGCGGCGUGCCUAACACAUGCAAGUCGUGCGAGGAAAGUUCCUUCGGGAGCGAGUAAAGCGGCGCACGGGUGAGUAACACGUAGGUAACCUGCCCCCCAGUCUGGAACAACUAGAGGAAACUCUAGCUAAUGCCGGAUGAGACCACGAUCCCUUCGGGGUUGGCGGCCAAAGAAUGGCCUCUACUUGUAAGCUAUCGCUGAGGGAUGGGCCUGCGGGCCAUUAGCUUGUUGGUGAGGUAACGGCUCACCAAGGCUGUGAUGGCUAGCUGGUCUGAGAGGAUGACCAGCCACACUGGGACUGAGACACGGCCCAGACUCCUACGGGAGGCAGCAGUGGGGAAUAUUGCGCAAUGGGCGAAAGCCUGACGCAGCGACGCCGCGUGGGUGAUGAAGGCC
rnacentral:rRNA from 1 species